UGAGUAAACUGGGCGGCCGCGGGGGCCUUUCUAGGUCUUCGAGGAAAGUCCGAGCUCCGUAGGGCAGGGUGCUGGGUAACACCCAGUGAGGGUGACCUUAAGGAAAGUGCCACAGAAAUUAAACCGCCUGCUUACUGGUGGUUGGAUGUUAGAGGUAAGAGGUUGAAAACAAAAGGGCCCCGACUUCUAAUAUCCAACUUCCAGUAAGCGGCAAGGAUGAAACGGUGCGGUAAGAGCGCACCAGCAGCCGGGUGACCGGCUGGCUAGGCAAACCCCACCCGGAGCAAGACACAAUAGGAGGGAGGAUGACGUUGCCCGCCGAAUCCCUCGGGUAAAGUCGCUGGAGGUGCCGGGCAACCUGCACCCAAGAUAGAUGGCUGCCACCCUUUAAAAAAGGGAUACAGAACUCGGCUUACAGGUUUGCUCAUUAU
rnacentral:RNase_P_RNA from 1 species